rnacentral:rRNA from 1 species
UACGUAGGGACCGAGCGUUGUCCGGAUUCAUUGGGCGUAAAGAGCUCGUAGGCGGCUGCUCAAGUCGAAUGUGAAAACUCGAGGCUCAACCUCGAGCCUGCAUUCGAUACUGGGCGGCUAGAGUCUGGUAGGGGGAUCUGGAAUUCCUGGUGUAGCGGUGAAAUGCGCAGAUAUCAGGAAGAACACCGGUGGCGAAGGCGGGUCUCUGGGCCACUACUGACGCUGAGGAGCGAAAGCGUGGGGAGCGAACAGG